AGAUUCUCUCAAAGCUUCAUGUUAAAUCCUUGACCCGUUUCAGGUGCGUUUGUAAGCUCCUGUCUUCAUCUUUUGAAACCCCUCAUUUCAUUACCAAACAUCAUCAGAACAACCUAAAAAACAAUAACCUUAAUCUCCUCCUCAAACUUUGUCAUGGUGGCAUCCAUGAUGACAUCCAUUAUUUCUCUCAACUUUCGACCGAGAAAGACCAAAACUUUAUAGUAAAACACAAUAUUCACUUACCUUUUUUUGAGAAUUUUUCAUUCGAUCCUACAGUCACG